rnacentral:rRNA from 1 species
GACGGACGCUGGCGGCGUGCUUAACACAUGCAAGUCGAACGGAAAGGCCCCAGCUUGCUGGGGUCCUCGAGUGGCGAACGGGUGAGUAACACGUGGGUGAUCUGCCCUGCACUCUGGGAUAAGCCUGGGAAACUGGGUCUAAUACCGGAUAGGGCCGUGCUUUAGUGUGUGCGGUGGAAAGUUUUUCGGUGCAGGAUGAGCCCGCGGCCUAUCAGCUUGUUGGUGGGGUAAUGGCCUACCAAGGCGGCGACGGGUAGCCGGCCUGAGAGGGUGUACGGCCACAUUGGGACUGAGACACGGCCCAGACUCCUACGGGAGGCAGCAGUGGGGAAUAUUGCACAAUGGGCGCAAGCCUGAUGCAGCGACGCCGCGUGGGGGAUGACGGCCUUCGGGUUGUAAACCCCUUUCGGCAGGGACGAAGCUUUUGUGACGGUACCUGCAUAAGAAGCACCGGCUAACUACGUG